rnacentral:rRNA from 1 species
UGGACCUGAUAUCAGUCAUGAU